rnacentral:lncRNA from 1 species
UUUUUUUUUUUCAAUUUUAUAACUUUAUUUGAUGUAUUUGAUGAUCAGCGAUUAGUUCUCAUCCACAUUGACUGUCUGUAGAUUUUUGAAAGUGGUAACAGGUACAUAGGUAACCAAAGUAUAGAGCUUAUUUGGUGAAUCUUCAUCCUCAUUACGUUUUCUGGACAGCCGCACACGGAUUCGGUAUGGGACAUUCCUUAUUCCUUUGGCCCAGACAGCUUUGUUGAGCCUGGUAUCAAUGCGCACAUCUGGAGUUCCCAUCUCCUUCAUGGCAAAUUUCCCAUCUCUUUGAGUGCCCGAGGGGCACGCUUCUUGAAGCCCACUCCAUGGAUGCGCUUGUGAAUGUUGAUGGUGUAUUCUCGGGUCACCACCUCGUUGAUGGCAGAACGGCCCUUUUUCUUCUCGCCACCCUUCUUUGCGGGAGCCAUUCUGCCGGGUCCAAGCUGGAAAGGACCACUGUAGUUUUUAUCCCCCACUCUCCUUCUGAUAAAAAACUCCCUGCCCUGCCAUCACGUUUGCAUUCAUGAUCCAUUCUCAAUCCCUAGUCCCAUGAAAAAGUGACUACUGAAGAUAAGGGCAUGUGACAAAAUCAGUGCCAGUGAGGAUCCUUCUAAGGAUUGAUUGAUUUACAUAAUAAGAAAGAGAUCUUCUCUUCCCAAUAGGAUUUCCAAGCCAGGAGCAUAUAGUCUGGAAUAACCAAUAGCCAUUUCCCCCUAGAUGUUAAAGAAAGCCUGCUGAAACAGGAGUGAAUAAAAAUUUAACAAUUUCAGAGGAAAGCAAGCUGAGAAAUGGAGUUCAUGAAUGCUGAGAAUCCUGACAACUUUGUUUUAGCACCUAGAUCCAGCCCUGCCUGAGUUCCACAUUCAUUCAUAAAUAUACUAGAUAUAUAAGGCAAGACAGACUAUUUUGUUUAAGUAGUUUGAGUUGGUUUUCUGUCACUUUUGCUCUAAAGGGUCCUCAGUAAUCCAGUCACUGAGUCUUGCCUUAAGGAUAGUUUUAGUCCAUCCUUCAUCUGAUGAUAAAGAUUAGCUUCUGAAUCACAUUUGUUUCACUGCCAUAAUUCCCUUAAGGUGAGGAUUCAUUUAGUCAUGUAACUUUUUUUGAAAUGGCUAUUGUCUUAGGACUUCUGGGAACCACUACUAAAUAUAAAAUCAAUUGGAAAUCAUGCAACUAUAAGGAAAAAUAUUCAAGGGAGGAAACUUGGCAGGAAAUUCCGACUCGGGUGGAACAUUUUAGGCUUAAGAGUGAGGUUCCAUUUAUAAUUGCUGCCUUGGAUAGUUUUAUAAUUUCAAUUUUGUUCAAAACAAGUUUUUUGAAAACAACCUUCAAUACAUUUAGAAAUAACAAAAAGGCAAGAAACAAAGAAGGCAGCCCCUGCCCCCAACCAUAUUGAAAUCACUAGGAAUCCUGGUCAAGCGAUUAUCUGUGCUGUGCUGCGCCACUGCCCUGGAGCAGACUCUGCUGUCUCCUAUUCAGAUGUCAGGUACCGCUGGAUAAAUAGAGCCAUGGUGAGAAGCCGCUGGACUAGUGCAGAGGCAAAUGGAAUGUGUGGUGGGAAGAUUUUAAUUGGCAUCCCC